UUAAAACUACUUUUCUGCAAAAUGCGUGAAUGUCCAAGGAUAUAUACUAGAUUGUCAAAAAAGUAGGCUGCUUGAUUAUUAUUGGUAAUGCUGUGCAGCUUUUAUGCUUUUCAAUUCAAAUUUUUAACUUUUAUGUAUUUAUUUUCAGAGCUACUGGGAAAGGCUGCAGUUUCCUGUGAUUAUCAUAUAAGGAAGUAAGGACAUCAUAUCGGAUGGAAGUGGCAUCAAAACAUGAUUUUACUGAACCAUGAAACAGGAAGGAGAGGCAUCCGCGAUAAAAUUGAUACAUUUACCUGUGAACUCCUGAGAUCUAGGAAAGAAACAUUUCUGGAAACUCAACACCAGGUAAGACCAGGGAGUGUUCUGAACCGAUUAGAAAUGAGCUACGGGGUUAAAUGAAUAUACAUGUUUACAUAAUUUGUAAAUCUUUCAUAAUCGAAAUAUGAACAUAUUCUGGAUUUUUUGCACUUGAACCCUACAUAUGAUGCAAUCGUGCAACUGACUAACACGCGAACACGCACACAGGGAUUACAUUGUAUGUAUCUGAUCAGAUGUUAUUUGUCAAUUUGUAUAAUCAGAAGGGCUUAAAG
ensembl:lncRNA